rnacentral:tRNA from 1 species
GGCGGAUGUAGCCAAGUGGAUCAAGGCAGUGNAUUUUGUAAAUC